CACAGUUCGAGCUUGAAUUGCGUUUCGUAGGUUACGUCUACGUUAAAACGUUACAGUUAAAUAUAACUGCUAAAAACGAAAACAACUCUUACGCUUUAGCUGCCUAAAAACAGUUAGCGUAGAUCCUCUCGGCAUCGCCCAUGUGCUCGAGUAAGGGUCUCAAAUUUAGUGGGAUACGUUAAACUUUUCCGUCUGUAAAGUUUAAAAGAGAUCAUCAGACUAGCAAUACAGAAUGCCUGUCACUCGGCAAGCUGUAAAGCGAAACCUCAAAUGAGUUGACUAUGAACGUAGAUUUUUAAGUGUCGAUGUGUUUGGACGC
rnacentral:tmRNA from 1 species